rnacentral:rRNA from 1 species
UACAGAGGUCUCAAGCGUUUGUUCGGAUUCAUUGGGCGUAAAGGGUGCGUAGGCGGCGCGGUAAGUCGGAUGUGAAAUCUCGGAGCUUAACUUCGAAACUGCAUUCGAUACUGCCGUGCUUGAGGACUGGAGAGGAGACUGGAAUUUACGGUGUAGCGGUGAAAUGCGUAGAUAUCGUAAGGAAGACCAGUGGCGAAGGCGGGGUCUCUGGACAGUUCCUGACGCUGAGGCACGAAGGCCAGGGGGAGCAAAACGGGG